rnacentral:rRNA from 1 species
UACGUAGGGUGCGAGCGUUAAUCGGAAUUACUGGGCGUAAAGCGUGCGCAGGCGGUUCGUUGUGUCUGCUGUGAAAUCCCCGGGCUCAACCUGGGAAUGGCAGUGGAAACUGGCGAGCUUGAGUGUGGCAGAGGGGGGUGGAAUUCCGCGUGUAGCAGUGAAAUGCGUAGAGAUGCGGAGGAACACCGAUGGCGAAGGCAACCCCCUGGGCUGACACUGACGCUCAGGCACGGAAGCGUGGGGAGCAAACAGG